AUUGAACGCUGGCGGCAUGCCUAACACAUGCAAGUCGAACGGAGGUAGGGGCAACUCUACUUCAGUGGCGGACGGGUGAGGAAUGCGUCGGAAUCUACCCUAUGGUGGGGGAUAACACAGGGAAACUUGUGCUAAUACCGCAUAAUGUCGAGAGACCAAAGCAGGGGACCGCAAGGCCUUGCGCGAUAGGAUGAGCCGACGCCCGAUUAGCUUGUUGGUAGGGUAAUGGCCUACCAAGGCGACGAUCGGUAGCUGGUCUGAGAGGAUGAUCAGCCACACUGGGACUGAGACACGGCCCAGACUCCUACGGGAGGCAGCAGUGGGGAAUAUUGGACAAUGGGCGCAAGCCUGAUCCAGCAAUGCCGCGUGUGUGAAGAAGGCCUGCGGGUUGUAAAGCACUUUUGUUCGGGAAGAAAUCAUGCUGGUUAAUACCUGGUAUGGAUGACGGUACCGAAAGAAUAAGCACCGGCUAACUUCGUGCCAGCAGCCGCGG
rnacentral:rRNA from 1 species